GAAAUGCGAUAAGUAGUGUGAAUUGCAGAAUUCAGUGAAUCAUCGAAUCUUUGAACGCACAUUGCGCCCUUUGGUAUUCCUUAGGGCAUGCCUGUUCGAGCGUCAUCUAAACCUUCAAGCCCUGCUUGGUGUUGGGUGCCGGUCCCGCCUCCGCGCGCGGACUCACCUCAAAUCCAUUGGCGGCCCCCGCGUCGGCCACGAGCGCAGCAGAAACGCGAACUCGUGAGCCCGUCCGGGCGGCUCCCAGAAGCUACACCCACCCAGUUUGACCUCGGAUCAGGUAGGGAUACCCGCUGAACUUAAGC
rnacentral:misc_RNA from 1 species